rnacentral:lncRNA from 1 species
CUUGAUUUGCCAUUUGUUUCCUGUUUCAGCUAUUACAACCUAGACUUGUCAGUGAGCCUGGAGCACUGCCUGAAAGGAAAAGUUGUUGUGGAAUACCCAACUUUCACGGUCGUUCUCACUGAGGACUUGUCGCAGUUUAACCUCAUCAGUCCAGAGCCAUCAGGAAGUCAUGGGGGCACAAGUCUGCCAGCCUUCUUCAAUACAGAUGGUUUGGCUGGGUGUGAGAAUGAAUGAAAGAGUGCAAAUUGGUACAAAAAUAUGAAGCAGUUUUUUUUUCCUGCUAAAGAGCUUUGUAAAAAUGUAUAAUAAAGCCCAAGGCAAACGUGCCCCCUAAAGGAA